CCUGUCACCUCCUUUUCUGAAGUCUGUCACGUCCAGUCCACUGGAAAACUGCUUCACUAACACAAUUUCUUGGCAUUAGAUACCACCAUGACCGUGCGGCGCUACUCCACGGCUGCACCAGCACCCGCUCCUUCCAGCACGAGGUCUCAUCGGGCUGGCAAGAGGCCUCUGAGCAAUGGGCUCCCGGGCACUGCCCAGCCACCAGCCCCUCCGGCCGCAGCACAGAUCACCAGUGGAGAGGAGAAAGGGCUCGAAAAAAACCCAUCAAACUGUCUCUUCUACAAUCAUUCCAGCAAAACAGAGCUGUUUCGGGAGCAUGUCCAUAAGUGUAGGGGUAAAGUAAAGGCUGUUAGUUUCCUCUUACCAAUGGAUAUGUCAUCAUAUGCUGAAAAGCAAGGCUCCCUCCCAAGCCCACAAAAUCAGAGAACAAAACAGUUAACCACCAUCGCUGAAAAGGAUAUGUGAGCUGGUGAAUUUUUAAAGGCCCACUGAUUCUUGAGAUAAAUUGGCCUUAAAUGAUAGCUGUGUGUCAGGUUCCUUCCCUGCAAAACGCUUUGGCAGGAUGCCUGCACAGAGAAUCACCCAGCCUGUGUUUCGGGUCACUGCCCCGAUGUUUAGCAUGGAAAUGGAAGCCCCAACAAAGGCGGCUGGAAGCCUGUACACCGUGAUGAAGCCACAUGAUAGCAAAGGUACCUCCAUGAAGUAGCUUCUGCACAACAUGUCUCAAGGAUCUCUUACCUUAGGACUGCUGUCAACAGGGUGUUUGUCACAAAAAGCAGAAACUAUGUCACUGCUUGUGUUUGCUGAUUCCCUUGCCAGAAAGGCAUUUGAUGCAGAUGACAAAAUGAGCUAUGAAAGAGCCUGUGAAGUUUUCUCUGUAUAUAAAACUUUAAAACUUCAUGAUACCGAUACAGCAAAAUUAAGAAGGCAUUACAGAGUCAGUUAACAUUACUCUGAAUUUCUGUAAAGCUUGGCAGUGACUGUUUAUGACCAUUUGGGGUUCACCUCUAAGAGAGCUCAGGGGAGACUAAGUACUUAGCAAUAUGAAAAUGUGACUACAAACCUGAUUCUGACUUGGUGUGUUCAGCCAGCCAGAGACUAAAGACUGUACACCAAGCUAAAAUUGUAAAUAUCAGUAUUUUUCAGGAAUGGCUUCUCAGCAUGUAUCAGAUCAAAAAUCAUUAGCAGAAAUUCAGCAAACAGGUGCAAAAUAAAUGAGAGAGAACUACAGACA
rnacentral:lncRNA from 1 species